rnacentral:lncRNA from 1 species
GUGUCACCCGCUUUCAUGAACAAUGCUGCCUGGAGCCUGUGGUGUUUAGAGGAGUAGAUUUAACCACAGAGGGUUUGUGGGAACUCCUAGUUCAGAACACAAGGGAGGAGAGAACAGAACAUUGAGAUGCAAAGAUUUAUGAGGGAGAAAGACUCAUGUAAGAAAAGGAAAUUAGAAACCAAGCAAGCAGAAUAUUCCAAAGACAGCCACAUACCACCCAUAAUAAUGAAGUUUCCAUGACUCUCUUUGGCUCAGAUAGGUCUGCUUAAUAAUUAAUAUGGCAACUCUCCCUCUCUCUGCAAACAGGUGGCUGUACAGGGCUUGGCAAAUAUUUCCUUAUUGCUCCCUUUACUUUCUCCGAGAGGAAGGUUGGGUGGUCCAGAGGAUUUCCCAGAUGGAGCAGCAGGCUUCCCAUGCCUGCCAUUUGCAUAAGUGGCAAGGGGGGGAAAUGAGGAGACCUUCCAAUGUCUUCUCUACCAAGUGAAUCUCUGACUCUACAAGUUUCCUUCCCAAGACACUGUGGUCCAGGGCUACCUCCCUUACAGCCUACAUGACAACAUGUGCAAAUUAUUUGUCAGCAUCUAAUUGCAAGAACGAUGAGGAAACCAAGGCACAGAGGUUAAACAACGUGUCCAAGCCACGUAGCAAGUAAACAAUUGAGCCAGGCUCCAAAUCCAAACGUUCUGGCGUCAGAGUCCUAUAAAGAUUUUUUUGGCCUAAUGUGAGGAAGUACUUUCUAAGAAUAAGAGUUUACCAAUUAAAAGGGGGUUGCUGUUUUAUGAAGAUAUUUAAACCAAGGCUGAGGGGCCAUUUUCAAGGGAUGCUGACUCGGUAAAAGUUCUUUGGCAGCAAGCAUCAGAAACCAAAUGUAACAACUUUAAGCUAAAAAAUAAAAAGAAGGAAGAGGAAGAAGAGAAGAUGGGGUUGAGGGAGGAGGACAGGAAAAAAAAGGAGAAGAAAGGUGAAGAGGAAAGUGAGGAGGAGGAAGAGGCAAAAAAAGGGGCAUUUGUUGGAAGUGGGGUGCAGAAAAAAUAAACAGCUGAAGAUUCAAAUUCAAGAAGGACCAGAAACAAGGACUGCCCUAGGAUCCAGGGAGCAGGAACUGAUUAACCGUUUCUUUAGGGCACAAUUACCCAAAUAAAUCAGCUCUAAUGGAUUUCUGUCUUUUUGCCAUUCUGCUUAAGAUUCAAGUUCCAGGGAAAGAACAUUCCCUUGGCCUAGCCUUGGGAAAGAUCGACAAUAAAAAUCGCUAAUAUUUAUGGUGUUUAUUCUCUACCAGCCACUGUUCUAAGCACCACAUCUGCAUGUAUUUUCUUCUCACAGACACCCUAUGAGAUAGCUACUAUUAUAGCUAAGAAACUGAGACAGAGAAUGUUAGCUGUCAUUCAACGUGAGGCAGUGUGGUUGCCACCAUGUUUGCUCUAAUAUCAAAAUGGAAAGGAUAGGCUCCCUAAGACAAAAUGUUGAUGUUGAUGAAGAAGGGGAAUGGAUGCUAAGAGAUAAAACCCACAGAUGCUCUCUCAGGGCUUGGUCUUGCUAGAAGGGAAAGAGAGGACUCCCGAGGUGUCUUCUGACCCAGGAAUUCUACAUUCUAGUUUCCAUCCUAACCCUCUUGGUUAUU